rnacentral:rRNA from 1 species
UGGUUUGUGGGGGCCUAACCAUGCAAUUUGAGCGGUAGCCAGGGGGCGUGCUCUCGGAUGAAGAGGGGAGGACGGGAGAGGGAUGUCUGGGAAACUGCCUGAGGGGGGGGGAUAAUUACUGGAAACGGUAGCUUAUACCGCAUAACGUCGUAGACCAAAGAGGGGGACCUUCGGGCCUCUUGCCAUCAGAUGUGCCCAGAUGGGAUUAGCUAGUAGGUGGAUAAUGGCUCACCUAGGCGACGAUCCCUAGCUGGUCUGAAAGGAUGACCAGCCACACUGGAACUGACCAUGAUCCAAACUCUACGGGAGGCAGCAGUGGGGAAUAUUGCACAAUGGGCGCAAGCCUGAUGCAGGCAUGCCGCGUGUAUGAAGAAGGCCUUCUGGUUGUAAAGUACUUUCAGCGAGGAGGAAGGAUUGUGGUUAAUAACCGCAGUGAUUGACGUUACUCGCAGAAGAAGCACCGGCUAACUCCGUGCCAGCAGCCGCGGUAAUACGGAGGGUGCAAGCGUUAAUCGUAUUACUGGCGUAGCCGCACGCAGGCGGUCUGUCAGUCGGAUGUGAAAUCCCCGGGCUCAUCCUGGGAGCUGCAUUCGAACUGGAGGCAAGAGCUUGUAGAGGGGGUAGAAUUCCUGGUGUAGCGAUGAACUGCGUAGAGAUCUGGAGAAUACCGGGGCGAAGGCGGCCCCCUGUAAAAGACUGACGCUCAGUGCAAAUGUGAGAGCAAACAGAUUAAUACCUGGUAUCCACGCCUAACGUGCUAUUGGAGGUGUUCCUUGAGAUGGUUCCGAACUAACGCGUAAGGCGACCGCUGGGGAGACGCCGCAGUUAAACUCAAGUAUUGCGGGGCCCGCACAGCGGUGAGUGUUUUAUUCACGCACGAAAAACCUUACCACUCUGACUCUAAAAUUACAAAUUUUUGGGCUCAGAACUCAGAAAAGGGCGAUGUCGCGCCGUCGGGUGGAAUGGUGGAUACUCCCGCAGAGCUCUCUCUUAUCAUUGUUGCACGGUCGUCGGAAUCAGAAACUGCCGGAUAACCUGAGAAGGGGAUGACUAGAUUA